rnacentral:piRNA from 1 species
CAACUCUUUAGGGAUGCCACGUAUGAC